GUGGAUUCCCCAGUGUUAGGUCUUGUUGCCUGUCUUCCUUGUUGUGUCUCUCUGUUUCCCUGCUCAUUUUGGAUUUUUCACCUGUUUGGAUAACCUGUUUUUGGACUCUUUAGUUUGUAUUAAACUCCAUUCAACUGUUCCUCCUCUGCCUUGCGUCCUGCGUUUGGGUCCUCCAACCUGCCUCCACACCACCCAUCGUAACAGCACUUCAUCAGAGGCAGUGAACAUGUGUGGAUUUGUGGGAGCUGAUCGCCCAGCGAGGCUACACACCUGUUGCCAAUCCUCAUCAAAGCCUGGCCUUAAGAUGUGGGGCUCCCUGAGACUCAUCGUCAGAUUACUCCUAGUCAUCGCAUGGUUGAGUACUUCAGGCCUGUUUAGUUACUUGAGCAUUGAGUUUGUUUCUAGUGUGUUCUCUCCCUGGACCUGGAUGAAUGUUCUUUUGUCUUUCUCCUUUUUCAAGUUACUGCAUCCGGUGUGUCUUUUUCCUGCUUGGAGGAUAUUUAGGAGUGCCCGUGCUCACAUCUCACCUACUACCACUGUACUAAAAGUUCCUCAGUUCUUUGUAAAAAAAACUCUUUAACUGGC